CCUGCUAGUAAGGACUCUUUAAGAGAACAGAGGAUUCUUGUGGCAGAGAUGGCCAACCAUUAUAAAUACCAAAUACCUUUCAACUCAUCCUGGUUCCUUCAGAGAACUGUCCUGAUUAUGUGCUACUGAAAAAUACGACAUGUGGCCUAAACGAAGAGGGGUUAAAAGGUCUGUGGAUCAUCAUUCUCAGAAAGCAACAAAAUAACUGAGAAAAAAAAAACUACGACACGAGGGUGCAAGCUAGAGACCUGCAAGGUACCUGCAUGUUUUGGCCGGAGCAGAGAACAUACAUUUUUUAAAUAAAGCUCCAACUGAUGAGUAUGACAUUGACUACAGAUUUUCUUUUACUGUAAGGAAAGAAGACGAUGACCUUAACACUGAAUCUAAAGCAUGUAAUAAAAUCUGAAUUUCAUAAUCUAUAACCAAA